CACCCAUCAAGCCUCGCUUGGUAUUGGGCCCCGGGGGUGACCCGGGCCCCCAUGUCUCCGGCGGGAGCGCCCCGAGCCCAGCGUUGUGGCACACUCGUGUUCGCUGGCGGCUGACGGGCCUUCCAUGCCGUUAAACCCACCUUCUCAA
rnacentral:misc_RNA from 1 species